AGGAAAAAGAACCAACAGGGAUUGCCCUAGUAACGGCGAGUGAAGCGGCAACAGCUCAAAUUUGAAAUCUGGCGCAAGCCCGAGUUGUAAUUUGUAGAGGAUGCUUCUGGGCAGCGGCCGUUCUAAGUUCCUUGGAACAGGACGUCAUAGAGGGUGAGAAUCCCGUAUGUGACCGGCACGUACCCUUUACGUAGCUCCUUCGACGAGUCGAGUUGUUUGGGAAUGCAGCUCUAAAUGGGAGGUAAAUUCCUUCUAAAGCUAAAUACCGGCCAGAGACCGAUAGCGCACAAGUAGAGUGAUCGAAAGAUGAAAAGCACUUUGGAAAGAGAGUUAAAAAGCACGUGAAAUUGUUGAAAGGGAAGCGCUUGCAACCAGACUUCGUGGCGGUGUUCCGCCGGUCUUCUGACCGGUCUACUCGCCGCCGGCAGGGCAGCAUCCCCCUGGGCCCGCGGAUAAGACCUUAGGAAUGUGGUUCUCUUCGGGAAGUGUUAUAGCCUGUGGUGAUGAGCGUCGCUCGGGCGAGGUCCGCGCUUCGGCAAGGAUGUGGCGUAAUGGUUGUAGCGGCCCGUCUUGAACCACGGGCCAAGGAGUCUAACAUCUAUGCGAGUGUUCGGGCGUCAAACCCCUACGCGUAAUGAAAGUGAACGGAGGUGGGAAGCGCAAGCUGCACCAUCGACCGAUCCUGAUGUCCUCGGAUGGAUUUGAGUAAGAGGAUAGCUGUUGGGACCCGAAAGAUGGUGAACUAUGCCUGAAUAGGGUGAAGCCAGAGGAAACUCUGGUGGAGGCUCGCAGCGGUUCUGACGUGCAAAUCGAUCGUCAAAUUUGGGUAUAGGGGCGAAAGACUAAUCGAACCAU
rnacentral:rRNA from 1 species